rnacentral:rRNA from 1 species
CCUACGGGUGGCUGCAGUCGAGGAUCUUCGUCAAUGGGCGAAAGCCUGAACGAGCGACGCCGCGUGCGCGAUGAAGGCCUUCGGGUUGUAAAGCGCGAAAGUGGGAACACCGAUCCACAGUAAGCUCGGGCUAAGUUCGUGCCAGCAGCCGCGGUAAGACGAACCGAGCGAACGUUAUUCGGAAUCACUGGGCUUAAAGGGCGCGUAGGCGGGCAUUCAAGUCUGUGUUGAAAUCCGGCAGCUCAACUGUCGAACUGGCAUGGAUACUGGAUGUCUCGAGGGAGGUAGGGGCGUGCGGAACUAUUGGUGGAGCGGUGAAAUGCGUUGAUAUCAAUAGGAACUCCGGUGGCGAAGGCGGCACGCUGCCUCUUCUGACGCUGAGGCGCGAAAGCCAGGGGAGCAAACGGGAUUAGAUACCCUUGUAGUC